rnacentral:lncRNA from 1 species
CUGGAUUUCUAGUUCCCGGUCUGACCUCUGAUCUAGCAAGAAGUCUUUGUCUAAGUUGGGCACUGGUUUUCUUGUGGUUAGCUUAGACUUUGCUGUAGCAGGAGGUUUCUGUUCUUCUGUUUGUUGUGGCUUGUUUUUCUAACUGCUGUGGACUGUACCUUUUCUUUCAACUGGUGUGGACUGUACCUGAGCCAAAGAAGUCUGCUGGAUUUGGGAGCCUUCAUCCAGUAGCUGAUGGAAGCAGAAGCUAAACACUGAGCUGAACCCUGGAACCCAGUUGCAGAGAGGGAAGAUUGAUGAGCAAAGGGGUCAAGACCAGGCUGGAGAAACCCACAGAAACAGCUGAUCUGUACAAGGGAUUGCUCAUGGACCCCAGACUGAUAGCUGGGAAAUCAGCAUAGGACUGUUCCAGACCCCCUGAAUGAGGAUGUCAGUUUGGAGGUCUGGUUAAUCUAUGGGGCCUCUGGUAGUGGAUCAGCAUUCCUAGUACAUGAAUGGACUUUGGGAACCCACUCCACAUAGAGGGAUGCUUUCUCAGCCUAGACACACGGGGGAUGGUUUAUGCCCUACUUCAAAGGAUAUGACAGACUUUGAGGAUUCCCCAUGGAAGAUAGGGGUGUGGAGAGCUGCAAUGCGCCAUGCCAGAAGAUGGCGCCGGUUUCUGCCUUCCACCAUCCCAAGGGUCUUCUCUGUGGUCAAGAAGCCAGGUGGGAGCAUCCAUAAGUCAUGUGCUGUCAUGGGGCUGCGUCAUUUUUAUUGGCAUUCCCUGGAGGUAUUUACAGUUCACCAACACUGAAAGUGGGAUUUCCAAGAGACACAUUUGAUGAGGAAUUGUUCUGAAAGAAUGGACUUGAAACAGACUCAGAAAGGAAAGUAAGACAAUUCCUUAUUUAAUAUCAGAGUACAUUGAAGCUGGUGGAGAUUGGAUGCAAAUGAGGAUCAUCCACAGGCAAACAAAAGGGAUGUGAGAUGUCAGUGUGAGCUCAUCAUAGACAUGGUUGCUCCACAGGGGCCAAGGAUCUCACAGCAUCCCAAGGAGGAUGGGUGGACUCACCAAUAAACACCAGAACAUUAUUGUUCAUUGUUUGUUCAUUUUAUUGCAU